rnacentral:lncRNA from 1 species
UUCAAGCCAUGGAUGGAGCGAAUAUGUGUAAAAAAAGUUAGGCCUAUAGCUAUAGACUUUAGAAAGUUGUUUUCCUUCUUGUGAUACAACUCAUACAAGGGUAAUUUAGAAGCCCAUGCUAUACAGCUUUUGAGUGAAAUCCCCUUACUGCAACUGAGAUAGCUUGUUGGAUCAGCUCAGACCCUGGCCUUACCAACAAUCAAGUUGGUUGGUGUUGACCAGAUCAGAAAAAGGCCUACGUUCCAGAUUUUUUAUCUAUGACACCCCAUCACCCAUGUCUACUGCAGUAACUGUUAGAUCAGCUUAAUAGCUCACCAGCGACAUAGGACUAACAUACAAUCAAGAAAUCAAGCUCGUCAUAACUUAGAACAAAUCAGAACAAGCCUGACGCCCUCAGAUUUGAACUGCUAUGAAGCCCCGACCACCAGUACCAAUUUCAUCAGCCCAUCACCCCGACGACUUGAUGGCAGCAGCUCCAGACAUCAGAUCAGGGGCCUGUUUCAUAAAGAGUUACAAGUAACAUUGCCAUUAUGGCAACUACCAUGAUGUGAAGGCUCGACAGCCAAUCACAAUCGAGAUUUCCAUGGAAGUUACAAUAAUGGCAAAGUUACGAUAGUUGUUAGUCUAUAUGAAACGGGCCCCGUAUCAUCAGCGCAACUCACCUGCUAAGCUCGGACGCAACCAGAUCGAUCAGAACAAGUCAAGCUAUUAUAAAAAGAGGGAGAAUGCUAGAAGAGGGAUGAACAGAUUUUGACCUCCUUGACAUCUUGCCAAACAUAGAGGAUAGACGAUGUUUUCAACAGAGGCUAAAGAGACUUUGAAGGCUGUGGAAGCACUGGUUGAACUCAUGUCACUCAGUGUACAACAUGGAUCCACCCCCUAUCUGGUGUUUAACCAUCUUCCAAGCAUCAAUGAGAGAGGUAGUGUCAAGCAAAGAUGAGGACAUGACACCAAUCUCCAAGUCUUCAUCUGCAUGGAAUGUCUGGUGUGAACAGUUUUGGUCUUUGUGUGAAGUAUGAUCAACAUAAGGAUGGAUGUGUAACCCUUCUCUUCUUAUACACCCCUCCAUCUUGUGUUUUUCAUGUUCCUACUAUUCAUGCUCUUGGUGUCCGUCAUUAUUUACACUACGUCUGGUGUUAGCCCUGUUUUAACUGAGCUUUUUCAGAUCAAGUUUCGGUGUAGAUGAUGUUUGGUGUUAAGGGUUUGGCUUUGUAGAUUAUUACUCCAAUUAAUACCUAGAAUAUAGUUAGCUCUUGGUUGAUCGGGGGGAGGGGAGGGGUGUGUACAUUAGCAUGAGUGAACUAAAUGUCAGUUAAAAUUUGGUGUCAGUUGUUGAUAACAUUUUUAGUAUCGAAUAUGUGACUCACAUAUGGUUUCACUACUCAAGAACCCAUUAGGAUAUGUAUUUAUGGUGACUUUUGUGUGGGUCUAUAAGGAGCAGGUCCAAGCUAUCAUUUCUAUGCUGAUAGUUUAGGGAUCAUGUUAGGAGGAGAUACCUGUGGAGUCAAUAUUUCACAACCUAUCUAAGUUUGUAUUUGUGUUUACAUUAUGCUAAAUAUUUUGCAAAAGUGGUUCUAAGGGUUUUUCCAGAAUUUCCCUAUCAAGUUUUGUUUUUUCAUCCUGGAUGUACAUGUACGUCAGAGAACUAGUCGAGGGGGGGGGUUGGGGUUGGUCUGACUAUUCUGCAAAAGUGGAUCCAAAGGUUUUCCAGAG